GCCUAAAGCGUCCGUAGCCUGUUCUAUAAGUUUCCGGUUAAAUCCAUUAGCUCAACUAAUGGGCUGCCGAAAAUACUGUAGAACUAGGGAGUGGGAGAGGUAGACGGUAUUCAGUAGGAAGGGGUAAAAUCCUUUGAUCUAUUGAGGACCACCUGUGGCGAAGGCGGUCUACCAGAACACGUUCGACGGUGAGGGAUGAAAGCUGGGGGAGCAAACCGGAUUAGAUACCCGGGUAGUCCCAGCUGUAAACGAUGCAGACUCGGUGAUGCCCUGGCUUGUGGCCAGUGCAGUGCCGCAGGGAAGCCGUUAAGUUUGCCGCCUGGGAAGUACGUACGCAAGUAUGAAACUUAAAGGAAUUGGCGGGGGAGCACCACAAGGGGUGAAGCCUGCGGUUCAAUUGGAGUCAACGCCAGAAAUCUUACCCGAAGAGACAGCAGAAUGAAGGUCAAGCUGGAGACUUUACCAGACAAGCUGAGAAGUGGUGCAUGGCCGUCGCCAGCUCGUGCCGUGAGAUGUCCUGUUAAGUCAGGUAACGAGCGAGAUCCCUGCCUCUAGUUGCCACCAUUACUCUCAGGAGUAGUGGGGCGAAUUAGCGGGACCGCCGCAGUUAAUGCGGAGGAAGGAAGGGGCCACGGCAGGUCAGUAUGCCCCGAA
rnacentral:rRNA from 1 species